GCCGUUCAGCUUGGACCAGGCAGGUCCUGUGUCGCCUAACGCUUGCCAGCAAGUACGAGGUGUGUGUUGAAGCGUGUGGCGUAGUUCUUUUGUCUGUCCCACACCGCCAGCUGUCGCACGGUCAGUGCAGUGUUUGGAUUUCACUUGGUUAAAAGGGUCCAGUCAGGAGGUCAGCCAGAGAUUGACUUGGGUGUUAACAGGGGCCCGUGCUCCAGUUGGCUCUGACCCUGUGCCAAGCCGAAGGUGAGAACUGCUAAGCAGGAGCCCCCCUCCGAGAAAGCGGUCCGGGUCGGGCGGGGACCAUCCAGAUCUAAGGGCCAUGGCCGGGAAGACUUCUGGUGCCUUAUUGAUAAAUUUUGUUGGUUGGUUGUGUGCUGGGCGGAUUGGUUACACACUCUGAGGCUCUCACAUUUGCUCCCAGCUCCCUGGAUCCCUGUGGCUUUUAGCUGGGGUGGUAAAUAGGGAGCAGGGUGUCACCGAGAAGAGAGACAACUGAUCAUACCACAGCUCUUCCCACAGCCUGUGCCUCUUGUAACUUCCUGCUCCAUCUACAUCCCACCCACUUAACCCACCUCGGAGGGUUAUUUUAAGCCAGAACUCAUCCGUCAAGCAGAAGGGAAGUCUUCACUCACUCGUUAGAAACUCCUCCAGCUUCUCCUGGGACGCCUCCAGGGCCGGGGCCCUCAUGCCUACAGCAGGGGCCCGGGGGGGCGUGCUGCCUGUUUCUGCAUUUUUCUGGUGUCCCUCCGUGCCCUGCCGGCCCUGGUCGUGUCUCCGGCCCUUGGGAGCUUUAACCAGGCAAGGCUCAAGUGUACGAAGGUGAAAUUUGCAUUCCUUCCCUGGGUUGUGCUUCUCCAAGGUAAACGGCCCCAGUGCUUCUCAGUCGCUUCAGCACCAGGUGUGAAGACUUCCGAUCAUUGUUCACGUGUUCGUUUAUCGACGUUCAUAUUUUAGCGGGGGUGGUUAGGGUGGGACAGCUACUCUGGAGGGCCCUGUGCGGAGCUCGGAGGAUCGAAAAACAGGGUAAAACCUGUAUCCUCUAGAAGCUUGUUCUCACGGGAAGAGGAGCAGAGACGCAGCCUUGAAACCCGGUGCAGCCUGUGCUGCAUGAAGGUGCUCCGAGGCUUGGGGCCGAGCAGAAGCCCUGUCUGGCGGGGGAGACAAGCAGAGAAGAGAGGCUGCUCGUGGGGAAGGGAGGGGCGCCUGCAAAGGCAGGACUGGGGCUGCCCUUGGGCUGGACAGGCUCUGUCUUGUCACCACCUAAUAAAGUGGCUCAGUGAACCUUUCUUCUGUUAAGGGGACUCUGGUCCAACACUUCUUAGGGAGCAGCUUGGCAGGCCUCCGGGGGGAGUUCUGCUGCCACCAGACCAAACAGAUCCUGCUGCCCUGGAAAGCCAGGUCUUGGGGACCAGAGAGGAAGCUUCCUAGUGUGGGGCACCUGGCAUGCCAGCUCCUGCAGGCGUGGAGCUGCCGGCAGGCGUGGGUAGGUGUGAAUGCGCACUCAGAGCAGGCGCGCCUGCGUGGACGCGAGCUGGGAAGCAGGAGCGUAUGCAUCCUGCUCAUUCGUGUGGCACCAGGAGUCCUGUGACAGAAGGUGCCCCUGAAAGCCAUGUCCCGACACCAGAGCAGUGAGCCACUGCACCAUCCCCAGAUGCACCCGUGCCCUCAGUGCCCUCUGUGUCCUGGGGGCUGCUUGUGCCCGUCCCCCCCUCUGCUCGCGUCCUCAGGCGAGAGCCCCUGCUCGUCGUUCAGUACCCAGCUCACCUGGCACCUGCUGCCUCCAGGCUUGAGGGUUCUGGGCCUCAGCCCGGGUGGCUUCCCUCUGCAGUGCCCCGUGUCGCUGGGUCUUCUCGUCUCCAAGUCCAGAGACGUCCUGGCUUGUCCAAUACCAAUCCUGCCUGUGGAUAGAGGGUGGGGGUUCCUGUGACCCGGAAAGGCCAUGCCAUACGUUCUCUUGUCCUGACACCACUCCUGUAGGGCACCUUUUUCAGGUUGUAUUUCCUAGUGUCGUGGCGUUAAUGAACCAGAAGCCCGGAACUGGACUGGAGAUGCAGUCACGUGGUCUUGUCUUUGUUAGUGGAGAAUAGAGCAAAGCAGUCAACACCUGAAUCCUCCUUUCUCGUCUCCAGGAACGAGGAGGAGGAGGCAGGUCCUCUGGCCUCCCUCUGCUCAGAGCACUUCCUCUCCAGAACAGGCGCCAGGGCUGUGACUAUUGGCGCAGCUGCGCAGGAGGCCCCGUCAAGCACAGAGUCAGCAGUUUCAAGCGUGGAUGAGUACGGGCCGCCUUUAUUCCUUCUUUUUUAAAAUUCUCAGUGCAUUUAGUGCUACUUAAUGUGUUGGGCAGUUGAUGGGUUGAAAGUAUUCACAAAAUAGACUUUUUACUCUAGUGAAAAUGUGAUAGAAGUUUACUCUGUUGCUAAAUUAUGUAUUUCUGGAGACACAGACCACCUGUCCCAGGAAUAGGAGCAGCCCUGUUUACAUGGGGUGGGACAAAAGGGGGACGACCCAAAGCCUGACCCCAUAGCCAGUGUCCUCAGAAGAUUCAGAGUGACACCGCUGCAUGAUGGGAAGGGUGACGCGAUGAAGCCCAAGGAGAAGGAUGAGUGAGGGCUGUGUAGGCAGGACGUCUUCCCUGGAGACGGCUUAGGUAGGCCCUGGGCUUUAGUUGGGCAGGACAGACUGUGGCAAGCAGAGAGCAGGUUUACGGAGGGGAGCCCCAGUUUGGGCCAAAAUGGCAAAUGGAAACAAGUCUUGGGCGGGGGGGUGCCACUGCCAUCAAUCUCUAGUCUUGUAUGUGCCAUUCUGAGUGUAGGCCGGCCGGGAGCUGCCCAAAGCCUAGGCUGCUUCUUGAGCUACUGGUCCCAGUUCCAGCUAGUUCCAGGACAGACUCACAUCCAAGCCCGGAGAGACCCUGAGCAGACCAGCAGUACCAAGCUGUGCCUGCCCAUGCAUUGGGAUUAGCAUGUGGUCAGUGGGGUCCCGCCCGAGUCCCCAUCACCGAGGCAGGAGUCGUAUGAGCCGUCACGUGAGUGCACCAGGUGAAACAUGAAGGUACCCCCCCGGGGCUUAUGCGCCCCUUGUCAAAGAUGACUUCUGGAGUAUUCUACCCCUCAGCCCUGGGCUGCUGUGAGGGCGCCUUGGAAGUGUGCUCCCCUGGUUGGACUGCUGCAUGCCAGGCUCCAAACCAGGGUUUUGUCCCAAAAGCAGAAGGGAAGAGUGGCUGCUGGGAGCCAGGCAACCGUCCCUGCAGAAAUUCAUCAGAUGCAGCUAGAGGGUAUCAGACUAAGUGAAGCAAGUUAGAAAGAGGACAAAUACAUAUGAUAAUCAACACUUACACAAGGAAUCUAAAACAUGGCACAAACGGAGGUCCUGUUAUGGCUCAGUGGAAACGAACCUGACUAGCAUCCACGAGGACCCGGGUUUGUUCCAUGGCCUCGCCUAUCUGGUUAAGGAUCCAGUGUUGCUGUGGCUGUGAUGUAGGCUGGCGGCGACAGCUCCAGUUCAACCCCUAGCCUGGAAGCUCCAGAUGCUGUGGGCGCAGCCCUAAAAAGACAGAAAAAUAAAAUAUGGUACAGGAGUUCCCCCUGUGGUACAGCAGGUUCAGGAUCCAGUGCUGUCUCUGCAGCUGCGUGGAGCAGUGCAAGUUCAAUCCCUACCGUGGUGCAGUGGUUUAAGAAUUCAGCGUUGCCACAGCUGUGCUGUCAGUUGCAGCUGCAGCUUGGAUUCGAUCCCUGGCCCAGGAAUUUCUGUUUUGGCAAAAAAAAGCAAAACAGAAACAAACUCACAGACAUAGAGAACAGACUUGUGGUUGCCAAGGGAGGUAGGGGAAGUGGGAUGGACUAGGAGUUUGAGGUUAGUAGAUGCAAACUGUUAUAUUUAGAAUGGAUAGGAGGUCCCGUCAUGGCGCAGUGGUUAACGAAUCCGACUAGGAACCAUGAAGUUGCAGGUUUGAUCCCUGGCCUUGCUCAGUGGGUUAAGGAUCUGGUGUUGCCGUGAGCUGUGGUGUAGGUUACAGACACGGCUCGGAUCCCACGUUGCUGUGGCUCUGGCGUAGGCCGGCGGCUGCAGCUCCGAUUCAACCCCUAGCCUGGGAACCUCCAUAUGCUGAGGGAGUGGCCCAAGAAAUG
rnacentral:lncRNA from 1 species